rnacentral:misc_RNA from 1 species
AUGGAGAAUUGGACAUAGAAUUAGGAUUCUUAUAGGCCCCAAAUGGAAAUUGUGAGAUUGUUAUAGGCCUGAGGCCAAUUUUGUGUUGUUGUUGCUUUGUUUUACAUUUGAUUUGCUAAGGGUUAGGUUUAGUUAUAAAGGAGUCUCUAUCGAAAUUUUGAUGACCCUAGGAUUUAUAAAUUUUUGCUUCAACUGUAUUUAAUUAUUUUAAUCAGUCAG